UUUUUUUUUUUUUUUGGUCUUUUUGUCUUUUUAGGGCUGCACCCAUGGCAUAUGGAGGUUCCCAGGCUAGGGGUCCAAUUGGAGCUGUAAUGCCAGCCUAUACCACACCCAUAGCAACGCCAGAUCCAAGCUGUGUCUGUGACCUACACAACAGCUCAUGGCAACGCCGGAUCCUUAACCCACUGAGUGAGGCCAGGGAUGGAACCCUCGACCUCAUGGUUCCUAGUUGGAUUUGUUUCCACUGUGCCGUGACAGGAACUUCAGACUUUGGCUUUUUUUAUCUUUGCAUUUCUGAUACCCAACAAAACUCAUAUUGUAGUGUUAAAUAAAUGCCUCUGAAUAAAUAAAGAACAGAUGAAGCACCUAAAUAUUGCAUUGCUUUGUUUUUACAAAAAAAGAAUAGCACAGUGGUUAAAAACAUGGACUUUAUGGUCAGAUGGACUGGUAUUGAAGUCCGAUUAUGCCAAUUUCUAUAUGAGUCAUUUAAAGGUGUUACAUGCACCUAAUCUCUAUAAGGAGAAUAGUUAUAGGUCCUAUCUUAGAAAACCCUUCUGACACUUCAUAUUUAUUCUCUAUAUUUUUUUCUGGACAAAUGCUUUGGAGGCUUAAGAGCAACAUGGCAUAGUACUUUUCUUAACUUUACCAAUUAGAGAUCACAUCUUCAGGUAAAAAUAUAUCUAAAAAUAAAGACUAAAUUAAAGAAGAAAAAUCUCAGAGCGCCCAUUGUGGCGCAGUGGAAAUGAAUCCAACUAGUAUCCAUGAGGAUGUGGGUUCGAUUCCUGGCCUCGCUCAGUGGGUCAGGGAUCCUGUGUUGCUGUGAGUUGUGCUGUAGAUCACAGAUGAGUCUCAAAUCUGGCGUUGCUGUGGCCUAGGCUCCGAUUCAACACCUAGCCCUCCCACCAUAAAUUUAAAAACCUAUUAAAGAAAUCAGCUUUUUAUGAUUAACUCAGUCUUCUUUACAUUUAGAUCAAUGAAAAGAUGAGAUGAAAUCAAUUAUGUUAUAUACUUAAGAUUGUAGUAAAGCUGGGAAAUAUUAAAGUAAUUAACCUACUUUCAGGACAAAAUUAACCUGAUUCUUAAAUUUAUGGAUCUUAUGUAAUACAAAUUACAUACAACCUGUCAUAUGAUCAAAUCCAUUAAGUGCUCUCAAAGGCUGCUGAUCUAGCAUUUAAUUCUGGUAGAGCAAUUACCAGAAAGAUCUCUCAGGUCAUAAAGCUGGUUUUACAGUUUAUAAAUUCUAUACAUGCCAAGUAUGAUGAUGAUGCUGGUAGAAAAAAAUAGAUUCUGAUUAAUGUGCAUGUAUUUUCUUUAUUUUUUUCCAUUUCUAAUAGUCUAAAGACACAUUCACUGAACACAAGACAAAAAUCCUUUCCACAUUUCCUAUGAUCUAGUUCUGUUCAAUCCAGUCAGGGAUGGAAUAUCCACUACCUUAAGUCACAGAAGCUUUAACUGAUUGCUCUUUGUGUCCUUUAGCAAUUUCUUAAUAUGAGUCACAUAUUCCCUUCCUGGCAUAUCUGCUAAAUCAACAUCUCCCCCUUUUGUCAGUGAGAUACACAAUCAAAUAUUUUAAAUAGGGUAAAGAAAAGUAAAUUUUUUUUUUUCCUUUUAAAACAUCAGCAUUUAUUUUUGCAGGUUGAUAUUCUGAUAUUUCAGCUGGUCUCAUCCUCACAUAAUGUUCUACUCCCUUUCAGACUUCACAGGGACCCCUGAGUUGUCAUUCCGGACCACAGAUCUGAUCCCCCUUGCCCUUCCCCCCAAUUCACCCUCCUGCUAGGCCAAGGCCUGGCCUACUUAUCAAUAAUAUCACAUAAUGUCCCUGUCUUGCGACAACUCCUUUCAUCUUCUCCAUCUCUCUAUUCCCUGAUACUCUGCUUAUUACCAAGGGUCCACCUUUUGUCUUCUGAGAUCAAAUUCCUCCUGUGGUUUUUAGUAAGUAGAAGCUUCUUUCCCAUCAAUUUCUCUACUCACUUGCUUUGUGGAUUUUUUUUUCUCACUCACUUUCAGCUCUCCCUUGGGUGUCUUUUCAUUUUAUUUUGCAAUCAGGAAAUCCAGGACUAUUGCUUCCUCAGACCAAUAUGACGGCAGCACUUUACAACCCCAUUCUUCAGUUCUUCUUGAAAAGCACUACCAACAUAAAGAUGAGUGAUCGUAACAUAUGUCACUGAUGGUGUUGGGCUGGAUAUCUAGGAGGAAUUAUGAUGCAGCAAAGCUUGAAACUGUAUUUGAACAUGGCUAGGUUCAAGAUUUCAUACAGGGAAAAAUGAUCAUAACCUUCCCGUGGUGUUCCCCAUUGCCAACCCUGCUCUUCUGCCUAGAGACUCACAGAUUUCCUGCCCCUGAGAGUCAAACCUCCAUGGUUCACUUCUUCACUCAUCUUUAGGAAAACCCAGACCUCUUACACAGGCUUUGGUCUAGGCCUAGGAUAGGACUCAUCAUCCUGCUACAACACUCCACUGGACACAAUUUUCCACCUGUCUCCUCCUGGAGGUGGAGGUUUUUACUCUGAGCUUUUUACUCUAAACCUGUCCCAGAGCUGUACUUUCCCAAAACAUCCCUGGGUGGGAGAGUCUAGCAGGAAAGUCCAGAGAGGGCUCGGAGACUCUGGGCUGGGUCCCCUUUGAGUUCUUUCUUACAGAGGAUGUGCCCUUUCAUUCUCCCCACAGUGUUCUAGUCUCCCAUGGAUCACUCUGGAAAGAACACACACAUGCACACGCACACACACGCAUGCAGAUGUACACUGCACACAUGCAAGCACGCACACACACACGCAUACAGAUGUACACUGCACACAUGCAAGCGUGCACCUUACACACACAGACAUGCACAUUACACAUGUACCUUUAGACAUGCAGAUUACACACAUGCAAGUGUGCAUGUCAUACACAUUCACUCUUUUAGCAGCUACUGAACCAGGUAUGAAGAAUACAAUAAUAAGCCAAAAGGGCUCAUUUUCCUGAUGGAGCUUAUGGUCAAAUGAUGGAGAAGAAAACAAGACAUCAUGGAAUAAAAUCUCUAUUUGUCCCUAAAUGUCCAUUGACAGAGGAAGAGAUAAAGAAGAUGUGCAUAUCUUGGCAUACACAAUGGAAUAUUACUCAGCCUUAAAAAAGAAUGAAAUAAUGCCAUCUGCAGUAACUUGGAUGAACCUAGAGAUUACCAUACUGAAGUUAGUCAAACAGUGAAAGAGAAACAUAUGAUAUCACUUAUGUGUGGAAUCUAAAUAAAGGAUACAAAUGAACUUGUUUGCAGAACAGAAACAGAUUCACAGACUUUGAAAAACUCAUGGUUACUAGAGGGGACAGGUGGAGGGGGAGGGACAGACUGGGAGUUUGGGAUGGGCACGUACACCUGGUGGUACAUGGAAUGACUGGCCAAGGGGACCUGCUGCAUAGCACAGGGAACUCUACCCAAUAUUCUGUGAUAAGCUAUGAAUCUGAAGCUAAAGAAUCGGAACAAGAAUGUGUACGUGUAUGGCUGAGUCACUUUGCUGUGUGGCAGACUGUCCCAGUAUUGUGAAUCAACUAUACUUCAAUAAAACUUUGAAAAACGAAAAGAAGAUUUCUAUUUAUACUUUGUUAUAACUGAAAUAAAGGCACAGAGCUCAGAAAAUGCCCAACAGAGACCCUUGCCAGGGCAAGGAGGUGAGAGAAGCUUUAGAACUGUUCUUGGGAGUUCCCAUCGUGGCUCAGUGGUUAAUGAAUCCAACUAGGAAACAUGAGGUUGUGGGUUCGAUCCCUGGCCUUGCUCAGUGGGUUGAGGAUCCGGUGUUGCCGUGAGCUGUGGUGUAGGUUGCAGACGCGGCUCGGAUCCCGCUUUACUAACUGUUCUUGGAAGGAUG
rnacentral:lncRNA from 1 species